GCGGUGGAUCAAAUAAGUAUUGAGGAAUUGAUUUUCUAGGAUGUGAUUUUGGAGAUGUGAUGUCUUGGGCAGUUCUGGCCUUGACAAAGGAAGGAAGAGUUGCUGAAUUAUUUCUGCCGGUCAGAGUAAUUCUCAAAAGGUGAAAGGAAAGCCAAACAUAUCUUAUAUAUGCUCCAGAUACUAUCGUGCACCAUAACUGAUAUUCGGAGCAUCUGAGUACUCAACUACAAUUGACAUCUGGUCUAGGAGUUGUGUUCUUGCUGAACUGCUGCUUGGACAACCUUUAUUCCCUGGUGAGAGCGGAGUCGACCAGCUUGUGGAGAUUAUCAAGGAACACCCUAGGUACAGUGAAUAAUAAUCAAAUUGUGAAACGUGGAUACUAGUUAUGGGAGGAAAGAUAGGGAAAAAGAGCAUGGGACAAACAUGAGUUUUUGUCUUAGUGGUUCGCAGCAAGGAAAUGAACGCUUUAAAUCUAAAGGUGUGUAUUCUGUAUGUCUAUGUGGGUUUGUCAUUGAUUUUCUAUGAUUUAUAUUUUCCCAUAGACUUUCAAACACUUUUUUUGGCUACUUUGAGGUAGCUAAGAAUAUGUGAAGAUUAAAGUUGGUGGACAAUUUAUUUAACUUUCAAAAACACAUUUUAGCUACAAUUUCUUAUUUAUUUAUUUUAAUUUCAUCAUUAGCCAUACACAAAAUCAGUCAAAUAUUUGAAAUAAAAUCCCAAUACUUCUAAAACUGACUUUCUAUAGGUUACAGAAAACCGAGAUCAUAUUUUCACAUACACGAUAUGUCAUAUUUUGACUAAAAUAGUCGUUUUCGCUCCCAAGUCUCAAUUGAUGAACCAAAAUAGGAAUUCUAAACGCUUUUCAUGUUUAAUUCACUUAGUAUUAGGUUGCCAAUCCUCAUUCUCAUCUACUUUGGUAAAUUUAUGCACAUCUAAGGCUCGUUUUGGUCAUUAUAGGUCAUAUGUACCUAUAUCGAGCCAAAUGAUCCUUA